UACUUGAGUAGUAACUAGCUAUGGUCUUGAAACUUAAAGAAUUUGGCGGUAUUUUAGUUCUAUCCAGAGGAACCUGCGCUAUAAACGAUACACCACGAAAUUUCUUACUCUAUUUGGUAUUUCAGUUUGURUACCGCCAUUAUUGAGUGAUACUUUAAAGUAGGUACUAGGAUGCAGAUAAAUUGCAAGAUAUUAGGUCAAGGGGCGGCUUAUAGUAAAGAAAGCAUGUGGGUUACAAUAUAAUAGAUAUAUUACGGAAAAAAAUUUUAAAAAAUUUUUGGAAGGGGGAUUUGGUUGUAUUUUUAGUUUUAAUAAGAUAAUAAGAUGUCAGCUCUAGAAUAUGUACACAUCGCCCG
rnacentral:rRNA from 1 species